AGACAGAGGAACAAGCUGGGAAGCUUGGCGACACAGGGUGAUAGCCCCGUACUCGAAGUCCGGGUCGUGGUACUAAGCUAACGAAAAGUAGGGCGGGACACGUGAUAUCCUGUUUGAAGAUGGGGGGACCAUCCUCCAAGGCUAAAUACUCCUGACCGACCGAUAGUGAACCAGUACCGUGAGGGAAAGGCGAAAAGAACCCCGGAGAGGGGAGUGAAAUAGAUCCUGAAACCGUGUGCAUACAAGCAGUCGGAGCAUCAUUUAUGAUGUGACGGCGUACCUUUUGUAUAAUGGGUCAGCGA
rnacentral:rRNA from 1 species